GACGAACGCUGGCGGCGUGCUUAACACAUGCAAGUCGAACGGAAAGGCCCCUUUGGGGGUACUCGAGUGGCGAACGGGUGAGUAACACGUGAGUAACCUGCCCUUGACUUCGUGAUAACUUCAGGAAACUGGGGCUAAUACCGGAUAGGAAUCCUUGCUGCAUGGAGGGGGUUGGAAGGCUUCGGGGGGCUGGGAUGGACUCGCGGCUGAUCAGCUUGUUGGUGGGGUAGGUGGUUACCAAGGCUUUCACGGGUAGCCGGCCUGAGGGGGCGACCGGCCACAUUGGGACUGAGGUACGGCCCAGACUCCUACGGGGGGCAGCAGGGGGGAAUAUUGCACAAUGGGCGGAAGGCUGAUGCAGCAACGCCGCGGGCGGGAUGACGGCCUUCGGGUUGGAAAACGCUUUCAGCAGGGGCGAAGCUUGUGGUGACGGUACCUGCAGAAGAAGCACCGGCUAACUACGUG
rnacentral:rRNA from 1 species